rnacentral:misc_RNA from 1 species
GAUGAAGAACGCAGCGAAAUGCGAUAACUAAUGUGAAUUGCAGAAUUCAGUGAAUCAUCGAGUCUUUGAACGCACAUUGCGCCCCCUGGUAUUCCGGGGGGCAUGCCUGUCCGAGCGUCAUUGCUGCCCUCAAGCACGGCUUGUGUGUUGGGCUCCGUCCUCCCGGGGACGGGCCCGAAAGGCAGCGGCGGCACCGAGUCCGGUCCUCGAGCGUAUGGGGCUUUGUCACCCGCUCUGUAGGCCCGGCCGGCGCCAGCCGACAACCCAUCAUCCUUUUCAGGUUGACCUCGGAUCAGGUAGGGAUACCCGCUGAACUUAAGCAUAUCAAUAAGCGGAGGA